UUUCAUAUAAAUAUUCACAUGUUGAAAAUAACUGUGGUUCGACAUGCAUCCUGUGCUUAUAUUACUAUGGAUCAUCCACCAUAGUUUUAUCAUUCUCAUGCACCCAUAUAUGGGGUUCAACACAAUAUGUGGAAACAUAAAUAAGUAUAUCAACAUUAUUUACAUAACCAAGUUCAAUAUCAACAUAAUGAUUAAAUGACUUGACUUGACACACUGCGGAGUGUAACGACACUAAAAGGCUUGAAGGAAAGUUCUACCACACCUACCACAAGUGAGUUGGGUUUCUACUCCACAAGUCGCUUAGUCAAGCAUGGAAUUGAUCUAUAAAACAAAAUGAGGGAAAAUAACAUGUGAGUCACAAAGACUCUGAGAGUGAAUAUAGAAAGGGAACAAGCUGAAGGAGAAAAGCUUUACAAUAAACCAUAAUUAGCAAAACAACAUGAUAAUCAUAUAAAUCCUUUCAACAACCAUAAACACAUUUACAAACUCAAAAUGCAUGAAAUAUAAUAACUAUAUGCAAGCUUAAUGUGCAAAACAUUUACAAGGAGAUAAUAGAAGGUAAUCCUCAAACCUUCAACUUCAACAUCAAACAUUAAAAUCAAGAAUGUAUCAUUAAUUUAACAAAUCUUCUCAUCAUUUCUAAAUAGAUCAAUAAUCAUCAAUCAUCAAACUUAGCAUCACAAUAGCCAAUAUACAAAUAACACAUCAAUACAAUUCAUAAACAAAUUAAAAGGAGAAUGGGUAUUUUCGCCUAACUCAUCCUUAUGGUAUUUUUACCCCAACACUAAGAUUCAUAACAAAGGGAAAAGUUGUAUGAUGCCCAACUUAACCUUGUGGUAUUCUUACCCCUACACCAAGGCUAGAGCCAACAUACAAAAAAGGGAAAAAGUGGCACAUUGGCCAAACUUAACCUUGUGGUAUUCUUACCCCCACACUGGGACUAGAACUAAUCACAACACAAUCAAUAUUUCAUACAAGAUCAUGCAUCAAUAGCAAAUCAUGUUGAUCACAUGAAUCAUAGAAAAGUGAAAACCUUUUCAAUCCACAUUCACAAUACUAAAAUUCAAGUGCAUUUUUAAUCAUCCACAAUCACUUUCUCAACUAAAUAUCUUGUUACCCACAUUAGCCCAAAGGCCAGAGUAAUCAAGGAAAUUGUUCAAAACAUUGAAAGGGCUUGUCCUCACUUAUUGAAAACUAGUACAUAGUAAGAUAUUUACUUAUACAUUUUCAAAAUAUUGUCUCAUCUAUAAACAUAUUUUUCCUUAAUCAAAUAUUUAUGGAAACCAUGCUCUUCAAUAAUCCAUCAAAUCAUUCAACCAUGCUUUCAACUUUACAUACUCAAAUAGUUUCGAAAGUGGUGUACUCACUCACCUUGAAAGUUGACCUCUAUAAUCAAGCACAAAUCUACUCCAGAAAUUCCUUUAGAGUUUCGAUCAUUC
rnacentral:lncRNA from 1 species